AGCAGCCGCGGUAAUUCCAGCUCCAAUAGCGUAUAUUAAAGUUGUUGCAGUUAAAAAGCUCGUAGUUGAAUUUCGGGAUUGGCGCAUCGGUCGUGCCUCACGGGGUAUGAACUGGUGCAGUCAAUUUCUCACCUUCUGGAGAACCGCGAUGUCCUUAAUUGGAUGCCGCGGGGAACCAGGACCUUUACUUUGAAAAAAUUAGAGUGUUUAAAGUAGGCAUUUUUGCUUGAAUACAUUAGCAUGGAAUAAUAAAAUAGGACGGCAUGGUUCUAUUUUGUUGGUUUCUAGGACCACCGUAAUGAUUAAUAGGGAUAGUUGGGGGCAUUAGUAUUCAAUUGUCAGAGGUGAAAUUCUUGGAUUUAUUGAAGACUAACUACUGCGAAAGCAUUUGCCAAGGAUGUUUUCAUUAAUCAAGAACGAAAGUUAGGGGAUCGAAGACGAUCAGAUACCGUCGUAGUCUUAACCAUAAACUAUGCCGACUAGGAAUCAGACGAUGUUAAUUUUUAAUGUACUCGUCUGG
rnacentral:rRNA from 1 species